rnacentral:rRNA from 1 species
AUUGAACGCUGGCGGCAGGCCUAACACAUGCAAGUCGAACGGCAGCGGGGGAUAGCUUGCUAUCCUGCCGGCGAGUGGCGGACGGGUGAGUAAUGCAUGGGGAGCUGCCCAGUCGAGGGGGAUAACAACUGGAAACGGUUGCUAAUACCGCAUACGCCCUACGGGGGAAAGGUGGGGAACUUCGGUCGUACCGCGAUUGGAUGCGCCCAUGUGGGAUUAGCUAGGUGGUGAGGUAACGGCGCACCAAGGCGACGAUCUCUAGCUGGUCUGAGGGCAAGACCGGCCACCCUGGAACCUAGACACGGUCCAGACUACGACGGGAGGCAGCGGUGGGGAAUAUUGCACAAUGGUGGAAACCCUAAUGCAGCCAUGCUGCUUGUGUGAAGAAGUCCUUCGGGUUGUAAAGCGCGUUCAGUGAGGAGGAAGGGGUGAUGGCUAAUAUCCAUCAUCAUUGACGUUACUGACAGAAGAAGCACCGGCUAACUCCGUGCCAGCCGCCGCCGUAA